rnacentral:rRNA from 1 species
CAGCUCUGUAAGCGUAUACCAAAGUUGUUGCAGUUAAAACGCUCGUAGUCGGAUUUUGGUGCGCGCCGGGCUGUGCGCGUAGUGCGUGCGGCGCGGGGCGUGCUUUUGUGGAGGGCGGCCGCUCGUGGCUUUGCUGUUGCGGGUGUGUCGGCGCCACCGUUUACUGUGAAAAAAUUAGAGUGUUCAAAGCAGGCGUUUGCCGUGAAUACAUUAGCAUGGAAUAAUAGAAUAGGACUCGUACCUAUUUUGUUGGUUUGUGAGGGCCGAGUAAUGAUUAAGAGGGACGGUUGGGGGCAUUUGUAUUCCGGCGUCAGAGGUGAAAUUCUUGGAUUGCCGGAAGACAAACCGCUGCGAAAGCGUCUGCCAAGGACGUUUUCAUUGAUCAAGAACGAAAGUAAGGGGAUCGAAGACGAUCAGAUACCGUCGUAGUCUUUACUAUAAACGAUGAGAACUGGGGAUCGGGCGGGCAUUAUGAUGACCCGUCCGGGACCCUCCGGGAAACCAAAGUGUUUGCUUUCUGGGGGGAGUAUGGUCGCAAGGCUGAAACUUAAAGGAAUUGACGGAAGGGCAUCACCGGGUGUGGAGCCUGCGGCUUAAUUUGACUCAACACGGGAAAACUUACCAGGUCCGGACAUAGUGAGGAUUGACAGAUUGAGAGCUCUUUCUUGAUUCUAUGGUUGGUG